UAAGCCUGUGAAGGUGGCCUGUGAGGGUUGCUGGAGGUAUCAGAAGUGCGAAUGCUGACAUAAGUAACGAUAAAGCGGGUGAAAAGCCCGCUCGCCGGAAGACCAAGGGUUCCUGUCCAACGUUAAUCGGGGCAGGGUGAGUCGACCCCUAAGGCGAGGCCGAAAGGCGUAGUCGAUGGGAAACGGGUUAAUAUUCCCGUACUUGGUGUUACUGCGAAGGGGGGACGGAGAAGGCUAUGUUGGCCGGGCGACGGUUGUCCCGGUUUA
rnacentral:rRNA from 1 species